rnacentral:piRNA from 1 species
UCCUGUGUUUGCUUAUCUCUGGAUGACUGC